rnacentral:rRNA from 1 species
UACGAAGGGGGCUAGCGUUGCUCGGAAUCACUGGGCGUAAAGGGCGCGUAGGCGGCGUUUUAAGUUGGGGGUGAAAGCCUGUGGCUCAACCACAGAAUUGCCUUCGAUACUGGGACGCUUGAGGGUGGUAGAGGUUGGUGGAACUGCGAGUGUAGAGGUGAAAUUCGUAGAUAUUCGCAAGAACACCGGUGGCGAAGGCGGCCAACUGGACCAUCACUGACGCUGAGGUGCGAAAGCGUGGGGAGCAAACAGG